rnacentral:piRNA from 1 species
UGGGAAGAAGAAAUAGAAUAGAUCUCUCA